rnacentral:rRNA from 1 species
UACAGAGGUCCCAAGCGUUGUUCGGAUUCACUGGGCGUAAAGGGUGCGUAGGCGGUUGGGUAAGUCUGUCGUGAAAUCUCCGAGCCUAACUCGGAAACUGCGUCGGAUACUAUUCAACUCGAGGAAUGGAGGGGAGACUGGAAUUCUCGGUGUAGCAGUGAAAUGCGUAGAUAUCGAGAGGAACACCAGUGGCGAAGGCGAGUCUCUGGACAUUUCCUGACGCUGAGGCACGAAAGCCAGGGGGAGCAAACGGGG